rnacentral:rRNA from 1 species
CCUACGGGAGGCUGCAGUGGGGAAUAUUGCACAAUGGUGGAAACCCUGAUGCAGCAACGCCGCGUGAGUGAAGAAGUAUUUCGGUAUGUAAAGCUCUAUCAGCAGGGAAGCAGAUGACGGUACCUGAGUAAGAAGCCCUGGCUAACUACGUGCCAGCAACCGCGGUAAUACGUAGGGGGCAAGCGUUAUCCGGAUUUACCGGGUGUAAAGGGAGCGUAGACGGUUAGACAAGUCUGCAGUGAAAGCCCGGGGCCCAACCCCGGGACUGCUGUGGAAACUGGCAGACUGGAGUGCUGGAGAGGCAAGCGGAAUUCGUAGUGUAGCGGUGAAAUGCGUAGAUAUUAGGAAGAACACCAGUGGCGAAGGCGGCUUGCUGGACAGUAACUGACGUUGAGGCUCGAAAGCGUGGGGAGCAAACAGGAUUAGAUACCCUUGUAGUC